GUCAGAUAAAACUCCCCUAUUGAAGAAGCUCAUCUGGUUCCUUUCUGCAAGACCAGGCAGCAGGAGUGCUGUGAAAUUCAACGAAGGAUGGACAGUUUGUUCUGGUCUCUGCUUUAACCCCAACACCAAGGACAGUGCUCGGCUCUGAGUGGACACCCAGAAAAUAACUUGUUGAGCAAAUAAAUGGCUUAGUUAUUUAGAA